GUCCCCUCUCCACGUGGGUCAUUUGCAGGAUUUGAGGGCUGUGAGCAUCUCUGCUCCCCCUUCUCCAGCCUUUCCCCUCCCUGCUUUGUUCCUGCAGCCGCUGCUUCUUCCCCUUACAAACCCCCUCCCCACAGGGGAGCCCCUUUACAACAGCCAGUUGAUAAUUAAAACCUCGAGCAGAGAAGUUCCUUCUGCUCAUGGUCGCAUCUGCUGCCCUGGGGCUCCCACGGCUCUUGUGCGGCAGUGUCUGUCUGUCUGUCUGUCCUGUCUGUCCAGGCUUCCUGUGGCUGCAGCCACCUGAUACUGCAGCACUUCACCUCUGGGCAGGGUGCAGAGUGAGUGAGAGCCUGUCUGGGUUUGCUGCUGGAGGAUAAACACGCUGAGUAACAACAUUCCCGUGUGCUGGGAGCUGCCAAGGAGCCACGGCUCUGCCUCUUAGGGAUUCCUGAGGAAUCCCUUGGGAAAACCUCUGUCUCUUUUGCACCGCAGGAACACCUACACAGCUCCUUCAGGGACUGGAAAGCCACAGCCAGGUCACCCCAAAUCGUCUCUUCUCCAGGAUGAACAACCCAAUUGUGCCUAAAGGUCCUCCAGCACAGCAAGGACAUGAGCAGAUAAAGCUGGCAGGGGUGACCCAGGGACCCAACACCACCAGCGCCGCUCAGAGGGGAAGGGGGGAAAAAAAAAGAAAGAAAGAAAAAAGAGAAAAAACCCAAAACAACACCACGUAAAACCUUCCAAAAAUGCUGCACAAAAAGUGGCCACUCAGCAGAGCGAGGUUUCCUGCGCAGUGAGAGUUGGCCAGGGACAGAACAGGAAAUCACUGCUUCCUGCCUGCAGAGGAAGCGCCUAUCUCAUGCCCGUGAUCAAAAACAAACAGCACUUCAAUUAAACAAACAAAGGACCGAAAACUUCAACAGCUCCAGCCUGGGUCGGCUCCAGCCACAGGGAAACGUGUCCAAAAAUAAGAAGUUUGUAACCUUGAAAAGAGGUUUGUAACCUUCAUCCCCUUCCCCUCGCUGCGCGCGGGCAGCCGGAGGGACCCGGCGCCUCCAGGCUGGGAUGCCACUCCAGGGAUGUGGAAGGGGGUCCCACUCUUGGGUUUGGGGAAGGAGCAUGUCCAGCUGUCCAUCUGUCUAUCCAUAGAUCCAUCCCCAUGUCUAUCCACCCAUCCAUCCAUGGAUCCAUCCCCGUGUCCAUCCAUCCCUCCCUCUGUCCAACCAUCCCUGUGUCCAUCCAUCCAUCCAUCCAUGGAUCCAUCCAUCCAUGGAUCCAUCCAUCCAUCCCUGGGUCCCUCAGGCUGAGCCCCAAAGCCCCAGCAUUGCUUAUUCCCCACAUGUCUAGUGCUCUGGGCUUUUCCAAAUCUGGUCUGGCUGCAAAAACUGCCCUCCCAGCAUGGAAGUGAGCACAGAAAGAAAGACAUGGAAAAGCCAAGGUUGUCCUGCGACUGUAUUUGCAUCUCUCCAUCCCCCAAGCAGCACCUGGUGACCCCCGAGGCUCCAUCUCCUCCUACUCCCCCCUCAAUCCAGGGAUGCAAGGGCAGCCCCUCAAAUCCCACUUGGCUCUGCUGUAGGUUUGUACCAGGAUGGGUUUUACAGGAACGAGGAAUUCUUCUCCUGUGAGUUUUGCAUUUAAAAGAUGCCAAAACAACAGCAAAGCAGAUCCAGCUCCAGACUGAGGGAAUAACUAUUCCAGAGUCACCCACAGCCCCGCAAUGUCUUGGACAGCCAGUUCCAAGAAUGGGGGAAUGCGUGUGGCCACAAGGGUCUUUCUGUGUGGCCACCACACAAAACCUCAUUAUUUAGAAGUUCGCUGGUGAUCUGAGAACCAUCAGGUGCAGCCACUACUAAAGGCUGAGCUCAGACAUGAUUCUUGUUGCCUUACCCACCUGGUUUGUUCGGGCAAUAAAUAACCAUACCUGUUUCUUGGCUCUACGGC